CACUCUCCUUGUAAAUUCAGCAAGUGGAUAUAUGGACCUCUUUGUGUCCUUCGUUGGAAACGUGAUUUCUUCGUAUAAUGUUAGACAGAAGAAUUCUCAGUAACUUAUUUCUGUUGUGUGCAUUCAACUCACAGAGUUGAACUUUCCUUUAGACAGAGCAGAUUUGAAACACUCUUUUUGUGGAAUUUCCAUGUGGAAAUUUCAAUCGCUUUGAGGCCAAUGGUAGAAAAAGAAAUAUCUUCGUAUAAAAAUUAGACAGAAUCAUUCUCAGAAACUACUUUUUGAUGUGUGCGUUCAACUCACAGAGUUUAACCUUUCUUUUCAUGCAGCAGUGUGGAAACACUCUGGUUGGAUAGUCCGCAAGAGGAUAUUUGGACCUCUUCGAGACUUUCCUUAGAAAAGGGAUUUCUUCAUAUAAUGCUAGACAGAAGAAUUCUCAGUAACUUCUUUGUGUUGUGUGUAUUCCACUCACAGACUUGAACCUUCCUUUAGACAGAGCACAUUUGAUACACUCUUUUUGUGGAAUUUGCAUGUGGAGAUUUCAAGCGCUUUCAGGCCAAAAGUAGAAAAGGAAAUAUCUUCGUAUAAAAAGUAGACAGAAUCAUUCUCAGAAACUACUUUGUGAUGUGUGCAUUCAAUUCACAGAGUUUAACCUUUCUUUUGAUUGAGCAGUUUGGAAACACUCUCUUUGUAAAGUUUGCCAGUGGAUAUUUGGACACCUUUGAGGCCUUCGUUGGAAACGGGAUUUCUUCAUAUAAUGUUAGACAGAAGAAUUCUCAGAAACUUAUUUGUGUUAUAUUUAUUCAACUAGCAGAAUUGAAACUUCCUUUUGACAGAGCAGAUUUGAUA
rnacentral:lncRNA from 10 species